rnacentral:rRNA from 1 species
AACGUACGCUGGCGGCACGCCUAACACAUGCAAGUCGAACGAGGUAGCAAUACCAAGUGGCAGACGGGUGCGUAACAUGUGGGAAUCUGCCUUUUGGUUCGGAACAACAUGGGGAAACCUGUGCUAAUACCGGAUAAGUCCUAACGGAGAAAGUUUUAACGCCGAAAGAUGAGCCCGCAUUUGAUUAGCUUGUUGGUGAGGUAAAAGCUCACCAAGGCAAUGAUCAAUAGCUGAUUUGAGAGGAUGAUCAGCCACACUGGGACUGAGACACGGCCCAGACUCCUACGGGAGGCAGCAGUGGGGAAUCUUGCACAAUGGAGGAAACUCUGAUGCAGCGAUGCCGCGUGAGUGAAGAAGGCCUUUGGGUUGUAAAGCUCUUUUGUCGGGAAAGAUAAUGACUGUACCCGAAGAAUAAGGUCCGGCUAACUUCGUGCCAGCCGCCGCCGUAACAC